GGGCCCGUGCAAUGGGAGCCUGUGAACCGUGUCAGGACCGAGAGGUAGCAGCACUAAGUGGUAACUUUCAUGUGCCAUGGGGAACC
rnacentral:SRP_RNA from 1 species